rnacentral:rRNA from 1 species
CAAGUCGAACGCGAAAGUCCCCUUCGGGGGACAAGUAGAGUGGCGCACGGGUGAGUAACACGUAGGUAAUCUACCUUCGGGUGGGGAAUAACAACCGGAAACGGUUGCUAAUACCGCAUAAUGCAGCGGCACCUAAUGGUGACAGUUGUUAAAGCGGGGGAUCGCAAGAUCUCGCGCCUGAAGAGGAGCCUGCGGCGGAUUAGCUAGUUGGUAGGGUAAUGGCCUACCAAGGCGACGAUCCGUAGCCGGCCUGAGAGGGCGGUCGGCCACACUGACACUGACAUACGGGUCAGACUCCUACGGGAGGCAGCAGUCGGGAAUUUUGGGCAAUGGGCGAAAGCCUGACCCAGCAACGCCGCGUGAAGGAUGAAAUCCCUCGGGAUGUAAACUUCGCAAGAACGGGAAGAAUUAGUGGAAGUUAAUACCUUCCAUGAUGACGGUACCGUUUGUAAGCUCCGGCUAACUCCGUGCCAGCAGCCGCGGUAAUACGGGGGGAGCAAGCGUUGUUCGGAUUUACUGGGCGUAAAGGGCGCGUAGGCGGCGUCCGCAAGUCAGUUGUGAAAUCUCCGAGCUUAACUCGGAAAGGUCAACUGAUACUGCGGGGCUAGAGUGCGGAAGGGGCAACUGGAAUUCUUGGUGUAGCGGUGAAAUGCGUAGAUAUCAAGAGGAACACCUGCGGCGAAGGCGGGUUGCUGGGCCGACACUGACGCUG